rnacentral:rRNA from 1 species
CAGUAGCCGCGGUAAUACGUAGGGUGCGAGCGUUAAUCGGAAUUACUGGGCGUAAAGCGUGCGCAGGCGGUUAUGUAAGACAGUUGUGAAAUCCCCUGGCUCAACCUGGGAACUGCAUCUGUGACUGCAUAGCUAGAGUACGGUAGAGGGGGAUGGAAUUCCGCGUGUAGCAGUGAAAUGCGUAGAUAUGCGGAGGAACACCGAUGGCGAAGGCAAUCCCCUGGACCUGUACUGACGCUCAUGCACGAAAGCGUGGGGAGCAAACAGGAUUAGAGACCCCCGUAGUCCCUGUCUCUUAUAU